rnacentral:tRNA from 1 species
GCCUGGCUGGCUCAGUAGGCAGAGUAUGUGACUCUUGAUCUUGGGGUCAUGAGUUCAAGCCCCAUGUUGGGCA